UCCCUUAGAGUCUUUUUGAGGAGUCUUCUACAAUUACUAGUAACUUGUUUCAAGACUCGAGCAAGUGAGUAUGAGGAUGAGGAGAAUGUAUUCAUGAAUCUACUUUGUUAUCAUGAGAUCCUUUAUAUCAUGAACCAAAACUCUUGAAUUCAUAAUUCACAUUCAAGAGAGAGUUAAAAGUAAAGUUCAAGUAAGCCUUUGAGUUCAAUUGUGAAUCCUUUGAGAUCAACUAUCGAUUUGAA
rnacentral:lncRNA from 1 species